AGUGAACGCUGGCGGUAGGCCUAACACAUGCAAGUCGAACGGCAGCACAGGAGAGCUUGCUCUCUGGGUGGCGAGUGGCGGACGGGUGAGGAAUACAUCGGAAUCUACUCUGUCGUGGGGGAUAACGUAGGGAAACUGACGCUAAUACCGCAUACGACCUACGGGUGAAAGCAGGGGACCUUCGGGCCUUGCGCGAUUGAAUGAGCCGAUGUCGGAUUAGCUAGUUGGCGGGGUAAAGGCCCACCAAGGCGAAGAUCCGUGGCUGGUCUGAGAGGAUGAUCAGCCACACUGGAACUGAGACACGGUCCAGACUCCUACGGGAGGCAGCAGUGGGGAAUAUUGGACAAUGGGCGCAAGCCUGAUCCAGCCAUACCGCGUGGGUGAAGAAGGCCUUCGGGUUGUAAAGCCCUUUUGUUGGGAAAGAAAUCCAGCUGGCUAAUACCCGGUUGGGAUGACGGUACCCAAAGAAUAAGCACCGGCUAACUUCGUGCCAGCCGCCGCCGUAA
rnacentral:rRNA from 1 species